rnacentral:rRNA from 1 species
GAUGAACGCUGGCGGCGUGCCUAAUACAUGCAAGUCGAGCGAACAGACGAGGAGCUUGCUCCUCUGACGUUAGCGGCGGACGGGUGAGUAACACGUGGAUAACCUACCUAUAAGACUGGGAUAACUUCGGGAAACCGGAGCUAAUACCGGAUGAUAUAUUGAACCGCAUGGUUCAAUAGUGAAAGACGGUCUUGCUGUCACUUAUAGAUGGAUCCGCGCUGCAUUAGCUAGUUGGUAAGGUAACGGCUUACCAAGGCGACGAUGCGUAGCCGACCUGAGAGGGUGAUCGGCCACACUGGAACUGAGACACGGUCCAGACUCCUACGGGAGGCAGCAGUAGGGAAUCUUCCGCAAUGGGCGAAAGCCUGACGGAGCAACGCCGCGUGAGUGAUGAAGGUCUUCGGAUCGUAAAACUCUGUUAUUAGGGAAGAACAAAUGUGUAAGUAACUAUGCACGUCUUGACGGUACCUAAUCAGAAAGCCACGGCUAACUACGUG